rnacentral:lncRNA from 1 species
GGGGACCGUCCAGCAGGACAUCUGAAAACCUGAAACACACUCGGGCCCUGGUUGUCACAGGAUCCAAGGCCACCAGCUCCUGCAUUCAGACGUGGUGCUGAAGUAUCAGCUUUGCUGUUCACACGUGUACACUGUGAGAGCUAGGGCUCCCAGCCCAACCUACCAUGUCUGGCCCCCAACACACACACACUCACAGUCUAGCAGCAACGGCCCAGAAGACCAGGACCAAGGCAGACUUGCCCCUCCUGCCAUUUGCCAGUGGCCAUGGGUGGGUAGGGGCUGGGGGCGGCCUCCUAAUUCCUCUGUGGCCCUCCAAGCUCCUGAGGAUCAUGGAGUCUAUACCUGCUUCCCCCCACGGCCCUCGCCAGGACUGUCCUGGGUCUCUGCCUGCCUCUCCCUACCUACUCCGGGUGCCUCGGUUUGCUGAGUUAAUUGGCAAACUUCCCCAGAAGUAAACUUGGGGAUGGAAAUUAAUAAUUUUCCUGCCAUUGAACUCACUGCUAAUCAUGCCAGCUGGGAGUCGGGGGCCCGGGUGCACAAGGACCCCUGAAAAGCCAUUAGUCAGGAAUCCCCCAUGCAAUUUAGGGGCUGCACAGCCCCGGUGCCCAGGUGGAGCCGCAGCAGGCGUGAGGGUGCUUUGGAAGGGUUCAUGCCACCCCGCCUCCCUCCCACUCCAGAUCUUUUGCUGGGUGACCUGGGCCUAACGGGGUCUUCUGGGUGCUUCCAAUUGAGGACUGGAAGCCCUCACAAGAGAGGUGCGGGAAGUAGGGGGCCUGACUGGGUGCCCAGAGACCUCCAACUGUGGGGGUGGGGAGGCCAUGAGGGGAGGCCGGAGGGGGUGCCCAGGGGCCGGGGUGAGGGAGCAGGGCCACCUGCCCCUGUUUGGAGCUCUCCUUUUGACGAUGUGAUCGUGGUCUCACUGGUCCACUCGUGGCAGAGGGUGGCUGGUGCUGAAGACCUUGCCCUGGGACUCCCCCAACCUGGAAAGAGGCACAGCCUCCUCCCUCUCAUCUUAGGACUCUGGGCUGGACAGGCCCUGUCCUGUUGGGGUUGUGAGGGGCACGAAUGCUCUGGCCGAGCAGGCCUCCUCUCAGAUCCGCCGUCCCAGGAGGGAGGCGGUCAGGUCCUCAGCAGGACCUCCGUCCGCUGCUCCACAGGUUCCUUGGCCCAGCCUUCAGCACCUUCCAAAAGAUGUGACAGUGCAGGGGUUCUCGGGGUCCCUGGCGGAAACCCUGACGCCAGGCCCUCCCCUGGAGAGAGGCCUGGGAGGCGUGGGGGUGAUGCAGGGAGUCCAGCUACCGAGCACCCAGGACACCGGGAGGCGCUGCCGGGCCGGGAACUGGGGCAGCGGCCUGGGAUUCAUCUGGCCCUGCGUCCAGCCCACCCGUCACCUCUGUGCUGCCGAGAUGUGACCAAGUGCAGCUGGAGGGGCCAGGCUAUGAUUGAGGGGGAGGCAGUGAGAACGGAGCCAGCCCUGCUGGGCCGCAUGGCAUUGCUCCCAGCUGCCGGGCACCACUGGACGGGCCUCUCCGCUCACCUGGCAGGUGCAGAAGCCACCUGCGGCCACCUCAGCCGUCCUCUGUUUACCCCGAGCCGUGCGGACCCCACCUUGGGCUUGGUGGUCUGCUGGGCCACCGCCCUGCCAGCCCCAGGCACCCUGAGAGGACUGCCAGGCUGCUUGGUCUGGAGGCCACAGGGACAGGGGGCAGGAGAGAGACGGGGAGGAAGAGACCUGGCUCCUGCCUGCACCUGUACCUGCUGCAUUUUCAGCAUUAGCACCCUGGGUCCCCCUGCCUGGGGACGAGGAGCGCAGAGAGCUUCGGUAGUUUGCCCAGGGCCACACGGCAGGAUUUGUUUUUUGUUUUUUUUUUUCACAUGGCAGGAUUUGAACCAGGUCUGCCGACCGGGAAGCUGGCCUCUGUCCAAGACCCGACAAUACUGCAGAUUACUUAAAAUCGUCAUCCCAGCAGGGCACCCGAGGGGUCCCUCCUCCCACCUGGGACUGUGUCCAUGGCCCUGAGCCACCCAGCUGACCUGGCUUCCCGGGCUAGGCAGGCUGGACGGCCUGCUUCUGAGGGUGGAGGCUUCCCGCACAGCUCCGGGGCCCCGGGGUGGUCCAGGGGGCCGAGGGCACAGGAGGCUCUGGAGGACAGUGCUAGGAAAGGGGCGACCCUUCCAGGAACAGUCUCACUUCCCCCCUGCCCCGACCUGUCUCUGUCCCGUGGGGUGGCCGGGUGCGUGGGUCAGAUCAGCACAGGACACACUGCCCCGGUGCUGACCCCGUACCCCCCCAAAACACACACCAUGGCUGAGGGCCUCCGCGCACCCAGGGGGCCUGUCCCUGUCACUGCAGGUGAUGGUGUCCUUGCAGGAAGUCCCCACGGGCUUGGGGGAACUUUGCAGAUACGGCUGCCCUGGCAAGGCCCCCCCGGCGAGGGCGUCCCCAGGCACCCUGGGGAGGGGGCACGCAGGAGCGGGGGAGCAGAGGGGUACCGGCUCUCUCCGGGGUUGCAGCCCCUUCUCCCCACCCCUAACCUCUGGUCACACCAAGUCCUGCCCAUCCUGCCCCUGACCUCUUGUCUGUAGCUCCUUCGGGGCCUGAUCCCUUAUGUGUCACAGCCCUGCUCCCGGCCUCCCUGACCCAGUCUUUCUCCCCAGUGGAUGUCAUCCACCUGGACCCACGCAUAGCCAGGAGCGUCCACAGUCCACACACCGUCCCCGGUGCCAGGCCUAGCAGGCCUCCGUCCUCCCUGACCACGUCCAGCCCCGGGAUGGCCGUCCUCACGGCGUUGCAGCACCGGGGACAUUCAGAGGGGCGGCGCUGGCCCUGGGGAGACCCCAGAACCAGGGUGGGCAGCGGGAUGCACUCCCCUUCCCACCGGGGUGGCCCUGACAGGUGCAGGGGCCCAGCUGGGGCCGUGGGCUCUGGGCCCCCCAUCCUGGGACUUGGGAAUCUGCUGUUUGGUGAUGCUUUCAUCGAAAUGGAAUUUGCUCUCUGGUUGUUCAUCGAUUUGGGUUGCUGUGGCCAGAUGGGCGUGGCUUGCAGGCGGGGGGGGGGGGCCACCCCACCCCGCUGCUCCGACCUUGAGUGAGUGGGUGCUGCUGGUGAGGAGGCGGGUGUGCUCCCCGUCCCCACUCUGGACCACAGCUCUCAGGGCUCCCGCCCCCCUGGGCUCCCGGAGGGCCUUCUGUCCAGGCCCCGGACCCCCGGCCCUGCCAGCCCCCUGCAGGUGCCCCCAAGGCUCCCUGUGGGCGGGUCCGUCGGGGGAUCCCCCUGGCAGAUCCAAACCACACGCUGCUCUGAUGGCCUAGUGCCCACUUGGCAGCGGCAAAGCGCGCGGGCUGGGAGCGCCGGAGAUGGCAACAGAGAGGCCCUCCCCAGGCCCCCAGAGCCCCCACACCUAACUGGCGGGGCUCCC